rnacentral:rRNA from 1 species
UUUGAUCCUGGCUCAGGAUGAACGCUAGCGGCAGGCCUAACACAUGCAAGUCGAGGGGUAACAGGGGAGUUCGCUUCCGCUGACGACCGGCGCACGGGUGAGUAUCGCGUUUGUAACCUACCUUUAACUGGAAGAUAGCCCGAAGAAAUUCGGAUUAAUACUCCAUAACACUAUAGUUUGGCAUCAUUUUAUAGUUAAAGCUCCGGCGGUUAAAGAUGGGCAUGCGUAACAUUAGCUAGUUGGUGAGGUAAGAGCUCACCAAGGCUACGAUGUUUAGGGGGUCUGAGAGGAUGGUCCCCCACACUGGUACUGAGACACGGACCAGACUCCUACGGGAGGCAGCAGUGAGGAAUAUUGGUCAAUGGGCGAAAGCCUGAACCAGCCAUGCCGCGUGAAGGAUGACGGCGCUACGCGUUGUAAACUUCUUUUGUACGAGAAGAAACCACUCUACGUGUAGAGUGUUGACGGUAUCGUACGAAUAAGCAUCGGCUAACUCCGUGCCAGCAGCCGCGGUAAUACGGAGGAUGCAAGCGUUAUCCGGAUUUAUUGGGUUUAAAGGGUGCGUAGGCGGAAGAUUAAGUCAGUGGUGAAAUCCUGCAGCUCAACUGUAGAACUGUCAUUGAUACUGAUUUUCUUGAAUACAGUUGAGGUAGGCGGAAUAUGUAAUGUAGCGGUGAAAUGCUUAGAUAUUACAUAGAACACCGAUUGCGAAGGCAGCUUACUAAACUGUGAUUGACGCUGAGGCACGAAAGCGUGGGGAGCGAACGGGAUUAGAUACCCUGGUAGUCCGCGCCGUAAACGAUGAUUACUCGUUGUUGGCAAUACAUCGUCAGCGACUGAGCGAAAGCAUUAAGUAAUCCACCUGGGGAGUACGAUCGCAAGAUUGAAACU